CACCUCACUUUAAAACCGGCUUCGAGCUCUAAAUCAUGUGUCCACUUGAUGUCAGAAGUUAACAAUGUUCUUCCCAUUGGAACCAAACAACUGGAUACAAUUAUCACUGCUCUAACAAUAAUAUGGCUGCAUGAUUGAACCAACUGGAACUAACUGAGCUUGGAGAAGAAACUGGAGAAGAAACAACUGCGAUGAUGCGAGAUGAGAUGACUUGAAGGAAAAGAAAACUGUAUUCCGUUUCAUCUUCGUUUCAUCUUCCAAAGCCGUCUAAAAUCCUUUUCUGGCAGCAACAUCUUCCUCUUCGCUAGUUUUAACUGGCCAUCCUCUAGGAAAGGAAGGAAGCUCGUGAAAUAUGAUCCGGAUUCACACACACACAUGCACAGGCGACUCUACUGAAUUGAGACCAUAUCGAGACCUACAUAUGCAUGCAUGCAACAAUAUUCUCGGUAUUCCCAGUUUUACCUUUCAUUCACAAUGAAUGCACUCAGCAAACAACCGAACCAUCCUAGCUUGCAAGAAGAUCUUGUGCACUUUAUGUGAAAAUUACGCUGGCACUUCAGAUGCAGACUGGUUUAGGGUUUAAAACGAAAAAGUAUGUAUCCGUCCAAGUAUAUACUUUGGAUCCCAUUCACAAAAUGAUUUGAACCAUGAAAAUAAUAAUGAAUGAACCUUGUUGCCAGUACUUUAACACAACCAAAAACUAUGAAAAGUUAGUUUAAUAGUAUGAAUGAGAUUUUGAGGUGAUUCGAGCCUAAUAAUAACUGCGCGAUUAAGUACGUACGACGACAACGACGAUGGUUCUUGGGUGAGGAUUGCGUGUCACAAUAGGACAACAUUUAAAAAGAUGGACAUGAAAACGGAAACAUCGCCGGAAAUGCCAGAUUUGAAAGGUCGCUACUUAUGUCAUCAAAUAUGCAAAUGCGUUCUAAAUUGAAUUAUGCGACUUAUUAUAGGCAAAUUGUGUGUAGUCGUUCUAUUUCCACUUGGCUAUAAUAUGGAUUCUUUAGGUAAUGUUUUUUGAGAAACAAUUAUUACUUGUUUGAAAACUGACAGCUUUAUUUUCCGCAUAAACAGCUUUGGAUGUAGGACAUUUUUAAGGGCAAUUAAAAUUACACAUUUGAAAUCUAGAAAAAA